rnacentral:rRNA from 1 species
GGGGCAGCAUAUCGCUUCGGUGAUGAUGGCGACCGGCGCACGGGUGAGUAUCGCGUUUGUAACCUACCCUUAACUGGGGGAUAGCCCAGAGAAAUUUGGAUUAAUACCCCAUAAUAUUUUAGCACGGCAUCGUGCUUUCAUUAAAGCUCCGGCGGUUAAGGAUGGGCAUGCGUGACAUUAGUUUGUUGGUGAGGUAACGGCUCACCAAGACUACGAUGUCUAUGGGGUCUGAGAGGAUGAUCCCACACACUGGUACUGAGACACGGACCAGACUCCUACGGGAGGCAGCAGUGAGGAAUAUUGGUCAAUGGACGCAAGUCUGAACCAGCCAUGCCGCGUGCAGGAUGACGGCCCUAUGGGUUGUAAACUGCUUUUAUAUAGGAAGAAACCCCUCUACGUGUAGAGGGCUGACGGUACUGUAAGAAUAAGCAUCGGCUAACUCCGUGCCAGCAGCCGCGGUAAUACGGAGGAUGCAAGCGUUAUCCGGAUUCAUUGGGUUUAAAGGGUGCGUAGGCGGGGCAGUAAGUCAGUGGUGAAAUCCUGCGGCUUAACCGUAGAACUGCCAUUGAUACUGUUGUCCUUGAGUAUGGUUGAAGUGGGCGGAAUAUGUAAUGUAGCGGUGAAAUGCAUAGAUAUUACAUAGAACACCAAUUGCGAAGGCAGCUCACUAAGCCAUCACUGACGCUGAGGCACGAAAGCGUGGGGAGCGAACAGGAUUAGAUACCCUGGUAGUCCACGCUGUAAACGAUGAUCACUCGUUGUUGGCAAUACAUCGUCAGCGACUGAGCGAAAGCAUUAAGU